GAUGAACGCUGGCGGCGUGCCUAAUACAUGCAAGUCGAGCGAACGGACGAGAAGCUUGCUUCUCUGAUGUUAGCGGCGGACGGGUGAGUAACACGUGGAUAACCUACCUAUAAGACUGGGAUAACUUCGGGAAACCGGAGCUAAUACCGGAUAAUAUUUUGAACCGCAUGGUUCAAAAGUGAAAGACGGUCUUGCUGUCACUUAUAGAUGGAUCCGCGCUGCAUUAGCUAGUUGGUAAGGUAACGGCUUACCAAGGCAACGAUGCAUAGCCGACCUGAGAGGGUGAUCGGCCACACUGGAACUGAGACACGGUCCAGACUCCUACGGGAGGCAGCAGUAGGGAAUCUUCCGCAAUGGGCGAAAGCCUGACGGAGCAACGCCGCGUGAGUGAUGAAGGUCUUCGGAUCGUAAAACUCUGUUAUUAGGGAAGAACAUAUGUGUAAGUAACUGUGCACAUCUUGACGGUACCUAAUCAGAAAGCCACGGCUAACUACGUGCCAGCAGCCGCGGUAAUACGUAGGUGGCAAGCGUUAUCCGGAAUUAUUGGGCGUAAAGCGCGCGUAGGCGGUUUUUUAAGUCUGAUGUGAAAGCCCACGGCUCAACCGUGGAGGGUCAUUGGAAACUGGAAAACUUGAGUGCAGAAGAGGAAAGUGGAAUUCCAUGUGUAGCGGUGAAAUGCGCAGAGAUAUGGAGGAACACCAGUGGCGAAGGCGACUUUCUGGUCUGUAACUGACGCUGAUGUGCGAAAGCGUGGGGAUCAAACAGGAUUAGAUACCCUGGUAGUCCACGCCGUAAACGAUGAGUGCUAAGUGUUAGGGGGUUUCCGCCCCUUAGUGCUGCAGCUAACGCAUUAAGCACUCCGCCUGGGGAGUACGACCGCAAGGUUGAAACUCAAAGGAAUUGACGGGGACCCGCACAAGCGGUGGAGCAUGUGGUUUAAUUCGAAGCAACGCGAAGAACCUUACCAAAUCUUGACAUCCUUUGACAACUCUAGAGAUAGAGCCUUCCCCUUCGGGGGGGCAAAGUGACAGGUGGUGCAUGGUUGUCGUCAGCUCGUGUCGUGAGAUGUUGGGUUAAGUCCCGCGACGAGCGCAACCCUUAAGCUUAGUUGCCAUCAUUAAGUUGGGCACUCUAAGUUGACUGCCGGUGACAAACCGGAGGAAGGUGGGGAUGACGUCAAAUCAUCAUGCCCCUUAUGAUUUGGGCUACACACGUGCUACAAUGGACAAUACAAAGGGCAGCGAAACCGCGAGGUCAAGCAAAUCCCAUAAAGUUGUUCUCAGUUCGGAUUGUAGUCUGCAACUCGACUACAUGAAGCUGGAAUCGCUAGUAAUCGUAGAUCAGCAUGCUACGGUGAAUACGUUCCCGGGUCU
rnacentral:rRNA from 1 species